GCCUGAGUGGGUCAGUCAGUUGAGCAUCUGACUCUCAGUUUAGGCUCAGGUCAUGAUCUCAGGGUUCGUGAGUUCGAUCCCCACCUUGGGCU
rfam:Felis catus isolate Cinnamon breed Abyssinian chromosome C1, whole genome shotgun sequence.